rnacentral:rRNA from 1 species
UACGGAGGGUGCGAGCGUUGUCCGGAAUCACUGGGCGUAAAGGGCGCGUAGGUGGCCUGUGGAAGUCUGCGGUGAAAGCCCGGCGCUCAACGCCGGGUCGGCCGUGGAUACUCUCGGGCUUGAGCUUACUAGAGGCAGAUGGAAUUCCGGGUGUAGCGGUGGAAUGCGUAGAGAUCCGGAAGAACACCGGUGGCGAAGGCGGUCUACUGGGGUAAUGCUGACACUGAUGCGCGAUAGCGUGGGGAGCAAACAGG